AGUGAACGCUGGCGGUAGGCCUAACACAUGCAAGUCGAACGGCAGCACAGUAAGAGCUUGCUCUUACGGGUGGCGAGUGGCGGACGGGUGAGGAAUACAUCGGAAUCUACUUUUUCGUGGGGGAUAACGUAGGGAAACUUACGCUAAUACCGCAUACGACCUACGGGUGAAAGCAGGGGAUCUUCGGACCUUGCGCGAUUGCAUGAGCCGAUGUCGGAUUAGCUAGUUGGCGGGGUAACGGCCCACCAAGGCGACGAUCCGUAGCUGGUCUGAGAGGAUGAUCAGCCACACUGGAACUGAGACACGGUCCAGACUCCUACGGGAGGCAGCAGUGGGGAAUAUUGGACAAUGGGCGCAAGCCUGAUCCAGCCAUACCGCGUGAGUGAAGAAGGCGUUCGGGUUGUAAAGCCCUUUUGUUGGGAAAGAAAAGCAGCAGGUUAAUACCCCGCUGUUCUGACGGUACCCAAAGAAUAAGCACCGGCUAACUUCGUG
rnacentral:rRNA from 1 species